UACGAAGGGGGCGAGCGUUAUUCGGAAUUACUGGGCGUAAAGGACGCGUAGGCGGUCUACUAAGUCAACUGUUAAAUUCCAGGGCCUAACCCUGGGUAAGCAGGUGAUACUGGUUGGACUAGAGUGUAGAAGAGAGGGGUGGAAUUCUCGGAGUAGCGGUAAAAUGCGUAGAUCUCGAGAGGAACACCGAUGGCGAAGGCAGCCCCUUGGUCUAUAACUGACGCUGAGGCGUGAAAGCGUGGGGAGCAAACAGG
rnacentral:rRNA from 1 species